GCAGUAACUGAUGGAACAAUCCCAACACGUUCUCUACCCUUAAAGUUGUACAACUGCGUUGUCCCCGCCGUCUCCACAGUAGCUGGGAGGUAGUGCCCCUGCUCUGACCUGAAUCCCAGCCGUACCCCUCCUCAGUUGUGUUGUUCCUGUCACCUCCACCACAGGUGGGAUCCUGGUUUUCGCCCGACGGGACAGAUUUGCUGGCCUGUGUCAUCCACUCUCAUCGCUGGGUGCUGCCCGCGUGCUGGAUGGAACUAAUCUCCAGCCCUUGCCGAUGCCGAUGGCUCGCCAAAUAAUGAACGACACAAAAGACAGAUUCUCACGUAGACACCAAGAAGCAAAGCCGGUGCAAGAAAAAUAAAUCGAGACCAAGCACCACUCAGACUUGCCAGCAACAAAACGAAUUUCAGGGCAGGACUAAUCACUACAUCACAGAUUGGAGGCACUUCAAGGAAAUCCAAGUAUGUAAAACACCACAACUGAAAAUUGGUCGUGCGACAUUAGAUUACUCCUGUUAUCUGUAUGUAUGUAGAUUCAAGUCAAGGCAGUGGGAAGUCUUUUCAGGACAUUAGACUAUAUCAGGUAUGCCUGAAUUGUUUAUGCGGUCUAGUGUGUCGUUCCUACCACUGAUAUGCUUGCAGGACAUAUCAGGUAUGGGUUGCAAACAAGGGAUAUUAACAUGUGUGUCCUAAUAAGUGUACGCAAGAAACUAAUGUUGGAGUAGGAGUUUUUCUAUCUUCUAAUCACUUACAUGCUCCAUUCCAAAUUAUAAGAAAUUGUUCAUUUCAGUCCGUAUGUAGUACAUCUUUAAUUGUUCAUUAAAAUAUCCAAAACAUCUUAUAUUUCAGAAUGAAGGUAGUAUAUCUUUCAAUGUUGAACCUUUUUCUUGAUCUAUCACACAACCUGACUAGUGCAUAUUACAUUUACAAUGCAUAGAGACUGCUUCGAUGCCACUAAUUAUUCUGUUUCUAUCUUUUGGUCUACACCAUGGUUGCCUUUCAAUUAUGAGCUAAAGAGCCAUCUAUUUUUUAUCAAGCCUUCGGAAGUUCAGAUGUUCAAACAAAAGCACAUCGGUGCUCAUGCUUUUCUCCGUGGCUAGACUCAUGUAUUGCAAGUGCUUUGCCACUCCAGUCGAUUUCUAUUUUCAAAUGUCGCAUAAAUAUCUGGCAUACUCUUCCUAAGCAAAAGAAAUCUUCUCUAUGACCCACGUAAGGUUUCAGCUUUUGUGCUGCUCACCUUCUCUCUUAUUUUCAUAUUUACGUACUCUUCUGGCGUUCCUUCUUUGUUAUGCCUACUGUGUGUGUCUAUCAAGGCGAAUGGAAAGUCUUUCAUCCCCCGGUGCUGCAGAACACACUCUCAG